rnacentral:rRNA from 1 species
GAUGAACGCUAGCUACAGGCUUAACACAUGCAAGUCGAGGGGCAGCAUGGUCUUAGCUUGCUAAGGCCGAUGGCGACCGGCGCACGGGUGAGUAACACGUAUCCAACCUGCCGUCUACUCUUGGACAGCCUUCUGAAAGGAAGAUUAAUACAAGAUGGCAUCAUGAGUCCGCAUGUUCACAUGAUUAAAGGUAUUCCGGUAGACGAUGGGGAUGCGUUCCAUUAGAUAGUAGGCGGGGUAACGGCCCACCUAGUCUUCGAUGGAUAGGGGUUCUGAGAGGAAGGUACCCCACAUUGGAACUGAGACACGGUCCAAACUCCUACGGGAGGCAGCAGUGAGGAAUAUUGGUCAAUGGGCGAGAGCCUGAACCAGCCAAGUAGCGUGAAGGAUGACUGCCCUAUGGGUUGUAAACUUCUUUUAAAAAGGAAUAAAGUCGGGUAUGGAUACCCGUUUGCAUGUACUUUAUGAAUAAGGAUCGGCUAACUCCGUG